rnacentral:rRNA from 1 species
UUGAAAGGGAAACGAUUGAAGUCAGUCGUACCGGCGGUAAUCAGCCUUUUGGGUGUGAUUAUGUGGGGCGUGAGGAGUUAAACACCCUCAUCUUUGCAUAUUCGUGCACUUUGGGUGUACUUGCUCGUGUGGUAGGUUAACAUCAAUUUUGAUCGUCAUAAAAUGAUUGGAGGAAUGUAGCUUCGAUCUCGUAUUGAAGUGUUAUAGCCUCUUCGGUAGAUGUGAUGAUUGGGAUUGAGGAUUGCAACGGAUACCCUUCGGGGCUACCUGUCUGAUCUCUGAAAGUUACUCUGGUGCUGAAAGCUUGCUUAUGGUAUCAAAGUUGACGUUCAACAGGUUAGAACGGGAUAAAUUCGUUAAGGAUGUUGACGUA